rnacentral:sRNA from 1 species
UUGUUGAGCUUCUGGUCCUUGUCCCCUGCAGGUAUCACAGCCUGUACCUGAAGGUCAAAGGGAAUGUGUUCAAAAACAAGCGGAUUCUCAUGGAGCACAUCCACAAACUGAAGGCAGACAAGGCCCGCAAGAAGCUACUGGCUGACCAGGCUGAGGCUCGCAGGUCUAAGACCAAGGAAGCACGAAAGCGCCGGGAGGAGCGCCUCCAAGCCAAGAAGGAGGAGAUCAUCAAGACUCUGUCCAAGGAGGAAGAGACCAAGAAAUGAAGCGUCCCUCGUGUCUGUACAUAGUGGCCAGGCUAUGGCCUCACAUGGAUCAGUCAUUAAAAUAAAACAAGCCUUCGUCCUUGUCCAUUG